ACGGGGACCCGCACAAGCGGUGGAUGAUGUGGAUUAAUUCGAUGCAACGCGAAGAACCUUACCUACCCUUGACAUGUCCGGAACUUGCCAGAGAUGGCUUGGUGCCCGAAAGGGAAUCGGAACACAGGUGCUGCAUGGCUGUCGUCAGCUCGUGUCGUGAGAUGUUGGGUUAAGUCCCGCAACGAGCGCAACCCUUAUCAUUAGUUGCUACGCAAGGGCACUCUAAUGAGACUGCCGGUGACAAACCGGAGGAAGUGGGGAUGACGUCAAGUCCUCAUGGCCCUUAUGGGUAGGGCUUCACACGUCAUACAAUGGUCGGUACAGAGGGUUGCCAAGCCGCGAGGCGGAGCCAAUCCCACAAAGCCGAUCGUAGUCCGGAUUGUUCUCUGCAACUCGAGAGCAUGAAGUCGGAAUCGCUAGUAAUCGCAGGUCAGCAUACUGCGGUGAAUACGUUCCCGGGUCUU
rnacentral:rRNA from 1 species